rnacentral:RNase_P_RNA from 1 species
UAAGUAAGCUGAGUGAUCGCUUUACAAUUGUAAAGAGGAAAGUCCGAACUCUCAUUAAAGAGUAGCGGGUAACGCCCGUCGUCCGCGAGGAUAGAGGUGCGAGCAGAGACGUUUUCUUUUGCAAAAAAGAAAAUAUCCCAAGGGAUAAGUCUAAAUGGUAACAUUUAGAGUGAAACGGCUAAAUCCUUACUUGAGAGCAAGAACAAACCUUUGUUUAACAAAGGAAAAAGUAGUUCGCUAAAGGUUUAAAGUAAUUUAAAUCUUAGAUAGAUGAUCACAUAAACAGAAUUCGGCUUAUAGGCUUACUUAACUG